GGAGUGGUGUCCGAGUGGUUGAAGGAGGCGGUCUUGAAAACCGUUGUGCCGUGAGGUACCGAGGGUUCGAAUCCCCCCUGCUCCG
rnacentral:tRNA from 1 species